UACGUAGGUGGCGAGCGUUGUCCGGAUUUACUGGGCGUAAAGAGCGCGCAGGCGGUCGUACAAGUCGCGUGUGAAAGCCCCCGGCUCAACUGGGGAGGGUCACGCGAUACUGUUCGACUCGAAGGCAGGAGAGGGAAGUGGAAUUCCCGGUGUAGUGGUGAAAUGCGUAGAUAUCGGGAGGAACACCAGUGGCGAAGGCGACUUCCUGGCCUGUUCUUGACGCUGAGGCGCGAAAGCUAGGGAGCAACGGG
rnacentral:rRNA from 1 species